CCAAUAGCGUAUAUUAAAGUUGUUGCAGUUAAAAAGCUCGUAGUUGAAUUUCGGGAUUGGCGCAUCGGUCGUGCCCUACGGGGUAUGAACUGGUGCAGUCAAUUUCUCACCUUCUGGAGAACCGCGAUGUCCUUAAUUGGGUGCCGUGGGGAACCAGGACCUUUACUUUGAAAAAAUUAGAGUGUUUAAAGCAGGCAUUUUUGCUUGAAUAAUUUAGCAUGGAAUAAUAAAAUAGGACGGCAUGGUUCUAUUUUGUUGGUUUCUAGGACCACCGUAAUGAUUAAUAGGGAUAGUUGGGGGCAUUAGUAUUCAAUUGUCAGAGGUGAAAUUCUUGGAUUUAUUGAAGACUAACUACUGCGAAAGCAUUUGCCAAGGAUGUUUUCAUUAAUCAAGAACGAAAGUUAGGGGAUCGAAGACGAUCAGAUACCGUCGUAGUCUUAACCAUAAACUAUGCCGACUAGGAAUCAGACGAUGUUAAUUUUUUAAUGACUCGUUUGGCACCUUACG
rnacentral:rRNA from 1 species